rnacentral:rRNA from 1 species
CAAUAGCGUAUAUUAAAGUUGUUGCAGUUAAAAAGCUCGUAGUUGGAUUUCUGGUGAGAUGGAUUAUGUCUAGGUCGAAAGAUCUUGUUCAUGGUUCGUUUUGCCCUUCUUGUCAGGAACCCGCUGAGAUUCGCGUCUUGUCGGUGGAAUGGCAUCGUUUACUGUGAAAAAAUUAGAGUGUUCAAAGCAGGCAUCGCCGUUGAAUACAUUAGCAUGGAAUAAUAAGAUAGGACUUUGGUACUAUUUUGUUGGUUUGCGCACCAAAGUAAUGAUUAAUAGGGACAGUUGGGGGUAUUCGUAUUCCGUUGUCAGAGGUGAAAUUCUUGGAUUUACGGAAGACGAACUACUGCGAAAGCAUUUACCAAGGAUGUUUUCAUUAA